GAUGAACGCUAGCGGCAGGCUUAAUACAUGCAAGUCGAGGGGCAUCAAGGUACACGAAAGUGUAUUGUUGGCGACCGGCGGACGGGUGAGUAAUAGGUAGGUAACCUACCUCAUACUGAGGCAUAGCUGGGAGAAAUUCCAGGUAAUUCCUCAUGAGGUUAUAUGACACAUGUGAUAUAAUCAAAGGUAUCGCAAGGUACUGGUAUGAGAUGGGCUUACUGACCAUUAGCUAGUUGGUGAGAUAAGAGCUCACCAAGGCGAAGAUGGUUAGGGGUUUGAGAGAGAGAUCCCCCACAUUGGAACUGAGAUACGGUCCAGACUCCUACGGGAGGCAGCAGUAGGGAAUAUUGGGCAAUGGGCGGAAGCCUGACCCAGCCAUGCCGCGUGAAGGAAGACGGCCUUAUGGGUUGUAAACUUCUUUACUAUGCGACUAACUAGAUUUACGAGAUAAUUCUAUAGAAUGUAGCAUAGACAAAAAGCACCGGA
rnacentral:rRNA from 1 species